CCUGCCAGUAGUGAUAUGCUUGUCUUAAAGACUAAGCCAUGCACGUCUAAGUAUAAGCAAAAAUACUGCGAGACUGCGAAUGGCUCAUUAUAUCAGUUGUAGUUUAAACGAUCGUACCUUAUUAACAGGAUAUCCGUAGUAAUUCUAGAGCUAAUACAUGCAAAAAUCCCCGACUUUACGGAAGGGGAGUCUUAGAAAGAAAGCCGACAGAUGGCGAGUAAAAUCGUCGUUUUUAAGCGAGUAAUUUUUACGUCUCGGAUCGCACGCUUUUUAGCAGCGACUUUUCGUUUAAUCUUCUGACCUAUCAACUUGACGUUUGUGUAUUGUACCAACGUGGUCGUAACGGGUGACGGAGAAUUAGGGUUCGAUUCCGGAGAGGGUGCCUGAAAGAUAGCAACCACUUCCAAGGAAGGCAGCAGGCGCGUAAAUUACCCAAUUCAGAUACUGAGAGGUAGUGACAAGAAAUAACAAUAUGGGCGUCUAAAAGCGUUCAUAAUUGGAAUGAGUACAAUUUAAAUCCCUUAACAAGGAGCCACUGGAGGGCAAGUCUGGUGCCAGCAGCCGCGGUAAUUCCAGCUCUAGUAGCGUAUACUAAAGUUGUUGCAGUUAAAACGCUCGUAGUCGGUAUUCGCCCUUUCGGAAAUUGGUCUGCCGGAAACGGAAGUGUACUGUUUUCGAUUGGGCUAAAUCUUAUCGAGCCGGACGUUCUUAAUUGGGCGUUCGGUUAGAUUUGAUCGAUAACCUUGAACAAAUUAGAGUGCUUCAAGCAGGCUUAUGCCUGAAUAUCCUCAGCAUGGGAUUAUACAAAAAGACCUUUUCGAUGCCGUCGGCCUCGUCUGGGUAAUGAGCAAUAGGAGCAGUCGGGGUAAUCCAUAUUCGGUGGCUAGAGGUGAAAUUCUUGGACCCAUCGAAGAUGAACUAAUGCGAAGGCAUUUUACAAGGAUGCUUUCAUUGAUCAAGAACGAAAGUUAGGGGAGCGAAGACGAUCAGAUACCGUCGUAGUCUUAACAGUAAACUAUGCCAGCUAAGGAUGCGGAUCAGUUACAUGGAUGACGAUUCGCGAACUUUCCGAGAAAUCCAAGCGUUUGGGUUCUGGGGGGAGUAUGGUCGCAAGGCUGAAACUUAAAGGAAUUGACGGAAGGGCACACCAGGAGUGGAGCCUGCGGCUUAAUUUGACCCAACA
rnacentral:rRNA from 1 species